rnacentral:rRNA from 1 species
UACAGAGGUCUCAAGCGUUGUUCGGAUUCAUUGGGCGUAAAGGGUGCGUAGGUGGCGCCGUAAGUCAGGUGUGAAAUCCCGGAGCUCAACUCCGGAACUGCCUUUGAUACUGGUAAUCUAGAGAUCGGAAGAGGUUAGUGGAAUUCCCAGUGUAGAGGUGAAAUUCGUAGAUAUUGGGGAGGAACACCAGUGGCGAAGGCGACUUCUUGGCCUGUUCUU